rnacentral:rRNA from 1 species
AUGAACGCUGGCGGCGUGCCUAAUACAUGCAAGUCGAGCGAACAGACGAGGAGCUUGCUCCUCUGACGUUAGCGGCGGACGGGUGAGUAACACGUGGAUAACCUACCUAUAAGACUGGGAUAACUUCGGGAAACCGGAGCUAAUCCCGGAUAAUAUAUUGAACCGCAUGGUUCAAUAGUGAAAGACGGUUUUGCUGUCACUUAUAGAUGGAUCCGCGCCGCAUUAGCUAGUUGGUAAGGUAACAGCUUACCAAGGCAACGAUGCGUAGCCGACCUGAGAGGGUGAUCGGCCACACUGGAACUGAGACACGGUCCAGACUCCUACGGGAGGCAGCAGUAGGGAAUCUUCCGCAAUGGGCGAAAGCCUGACGGAGCAACGCCGCGUGAGUGAUGAAGGUCUUCGGAUCGUAAAACUCUGUUAUUAGGGAAGAACAAAUGUGUAAGUAACUAUGCACGUCUUGACGGUACCUAAUCAGAAAGCCACGGCUAACUACGUG